GGUAUGCACUUUCAUCUAGAUACAUUGAAGUACAUUUAAAAUAAACAAUUAAAACUUGAAUUUAAUAAUGCGUAUGAUAUUUUUUUUUAAUUUUGUAGGGUGUUUCAUGUAACACUGAGGUUGACAGUUCUUCACGCCAUGGCCCAUCAAUCACUGAGGCUUAGCCUCAUAUACCCCUAGCUUUUGGGUUGUCUGAUGAUGCAUCAGGUAUACGUCCUCACCCAUCAGUGACUUUGGCUAUACAUCAGACACCAUAUGAAUUAUCAAAAUUGAUGUAAUGUUUUUUUGUACAAGACUUGACUGCAACCACUUUUUUUGUUCAUGAGAGUGGACCUCCUCGCACCACUGAGGGCAUUACAGAGAAUGGUCAUAUGGAGGGUGCAAGCACUGAUAUUGCAGACACACAUGAUGGUACAUCUCAGGAGCACAUCCAACAGGACGAUGCAUCUCAGUCAUCUUUGCGUGGAGUGAAGAGAACUGCAGAUCAGAUGCAUGAGAGCUCUUAGAUUAUAUAUGUUAGAACAUGUUAUGUUAUUAUAUUAUGGAC